rnacentral:lncRNA from 1 species
ACUCCUUCCCAUCCUCCGCUCGCAACAGUCGCGGCUUAUACACGACGAUAAGGUAUCUGUUGUGUCCUUGAAAAUGCUUGCUUUAAAGGUGAGAAGAGAAGCUCUAAUCUUGAUUUCUUUCUUCUGUAACAACUGCAAGCGUUAAAUUCAAUCUGUUGAUCUCUGAUUUUAAUACUUCUUCCGCUUUCUCUUUGGCCACACAGAGCCUCAGUUUCGGCAUUUUGUUUACCAAUCUCAGCAGCAUCCAAAGCCACCUCCAGUUAUUUUAAGUGACUAGUGCCUUCACCCUCUUCUGUGUGCUAUAAAGUGCCUCUUUCGG